UUCCUUGUGGCACAAUGGACCAGUGCAUCUGGCUGUUAACUAGAAGGUUGGGGGCUCGUGCCCACCCAGGGAUG